GGCCAGGGGCGGGGCUUCCCUGAGGCGCGCCGAGAGGCGGUGGCCCACUUCCGGCAAUAAUCGCCUGGUCGCCGUCAGGUGCCGGCCCAGGUGGCAGGCGCGCCCGUUGGGCACUGGGGGACGCGGGCGCGUCAGGUGAAGACUGGGGGCUGCAGGCGCGCUAGGAGAACUAUGCCAUGUUUGGGUCAGGACUGGAGAUCUCCUGGAUGGAGUUGGAUUAAGACAGAAGAUGGCUGGAAGAGAUGUGAAUCGUGUAGUCAGAAACUUGAAAGAGAGAAUAACCAUUGUAACAUCAGUCACAGCAUUAUCUUAAAUAGCGAAGAUGGAGAAAUAUUCAAUAAUGAAGAGCAUGAAUAUGCAUCCAAAAAAAGGAAAAAGGACCAUUUUAGAAAUGACACAAAUACUCAAAGUUUUUAUCGUGAAAAAUGGAUCUAUGUCCAUAAAGAAAGCACAAAAGAAAGGCAUGGCUAUUGCACCUUGGGAGAAGCCUUUAAUCGGUUAGACUUCUCAAGUGCAAUUCAAGAUACCCGAAGGUUCAAUUAUGUGGUCAAAGUCUGAAGGCCAGAAUUCUACAGUAAGUCCUACUGAGUCAAGGUGAGAGCAGGGUCGGUGGCUUCUGAGGCUCUGCGGGAGAAUCUGUUUCCUGGCCGUAGAGGUGGCCUGCACUCCUCAGCUUGUGCUGCCCAUCUCGAAUGACUGGAGUUUCCUGCUUCUGUCACUACACCUCCCACCCUCUCCAUCACCUGCUCUGCUCUUAUAAGGAUCCGAAGAAAUGGAAUCGUCGUAUCGCUGAUCUACGUAAACAAACUGAAGAAUUGUCUGAAAGAAAAUAUGACAUGAACUUAUGAAUUCAACAGGUGAAGAUUUACAACUUGAUAAAUCAGCUUUGUGAGCUCAAGCUGUAAAAGCCAAAGGUCCGGUGAUAAUCCCAUACCCUUUUUUCCAGUCUCAUGUUGAAGAUUUUUAUGUAGAAGGCCUUCCCAAAGGAAUUUUUUUUUUUGUUUUUUUUUUUGAGAUGGAGUUUUCACUCUUAUCGCCCAGGCUGGGGUGCAAUGGUGCAACCUUGCUGGUCACUGCAACCUCUGCCUCCUGGGUUCAAGAAAUUCUCCUGCCUUAGCCUCCCAAGUCGCUGGGAUUACAGGUGCCCACCACCACACCAGGCUAAUUUUUGUAUUUUUAGUGGAGAUGGGGUUUCACCAUGUUGGCCGGGCCAGUCUUGAACUCCUGACGUCAAGUGAUCUUCCCGCCUCGACUCCUGACAUCAAGUGAUCUUCCCGCCUCGGCCUUCCAGAGUGCUGAGAUUACAGACGUGAACCCAUGCCUGGCCAGGAAUUUUGUUUUUUAGGAAGGCUUUCUACUAAUGGAAUUCCUGGCCUUGAGAGGAUGUUACUUUCGAAGGAAAGGAUUUUUUUGUUAUUAAAAGAAACAGGACCUUGCCCUGUCACUCAGGAUGGAGUUCAGUGGUCCUAUCAUGGCUCAUUAUAGCCUCAAACUCCCAGGCUGAAGCAAUCCUACCAUGUCAGCCUUCCCGUAGCUGGGACUACAGAGACGAGGUUUCGCCGUGUUUCCCAGACUGUUCUCAAGCUCCUGAGCUCAAAGCAGUCCACCCACCUUGGCCUCCCAGAGUGCUGGAAUUACAGCUGGAUCUACCAUGAAGGACUUCUGAAUCCAGGAAGAGAGACUGACUGGGCAACAUGUUAUUCAGGUACAAAAAGAUUUGGACUGUAACUUAAAAAUGAUCAAAUAAUAGUGCAUGCAUCAAGUGCAAUGGGAAGCUCUUCUGGAGAGUGAGAGAAGCUUCCAGUUAAGGUGACAUUGAAGCCAAGUCCUGAAAGAUGAGGAAGAGUUGUAUGAGAGUGGGGAGGGAAGGGGGAGGUGGAGGGAUGGGGAAUGGGCCGGGAUGGGAUAGCGCAAACUGCCCGGAAGGGAAACCAGCACCGUACAGACCUGAACAACGAAGAUGGCGUAUUUUGUUCAGGGAAUGGUGAAUUAAGUGUGGCAGGAAUGCUGUGUAGACACAGUAAUUUGCUUGUAUGGAAUUUUGCCUGAGAGACCUCAUUGCAGUUUCUGAUUUUUUGAUGUCUUCAUCCAUCACUGUCCUUGUCAAAUAGUUUGGAACAGGUAUAAUGAUCACAAUAACCCCAAGCAUAGUAUUUCGUUAAUUCUCACAGAAUCACAUGUAGGUGCCACAGUUAUCCCCAUUUUAUGAAUGGAGUGAUGAAGCCUUAGGAAUAAUGAAUGAUUUGCGCAGGCUCACCUGGAUAUUAAGACUGAGUCAAAUGUUGGGUCUGGUCUGACUUUAAUGUUUGCUUUGUUCAUGAGCACCACAUAUUGCCUCUCCUAUGCAGUUAAGCAGGUAGGUGACAGAAAAGCCCAUGUUUGUCUCUACUCACACACUUCUGACUGAAUGUAUGUAUGGAGUUUCUACACCAAAUUCUUCAGUGCUCUGGAUAUUAGCUGGGUAUCCCAUGACUUUAUUCUGAUACUACCUGGAGUUAGCACAGACCCCACAAGUUAGGGGCUCAGUCCCACGAGGCCAUCCUCACUUCAGAUGCCAAUGGCAAGUCCUAAGUUGUCACCAUACUUUUGACCAACCUGUUACCAAUCGGGGGUUCCCAUAACUGUCUUCUUGGGUUUAAUAAUUUGCUAGAACAGUUUACGGAACUCAGAAAAACAGUUUAUUUUUCUUUUUUUCUGAGAGAGAGGGUCUUAUUUUGUUGCCCAGGCUGGUGUGCAAUGGUGCAGUCAUAGCUCAUUGCAGCCUUGAUUGUCUGGGCUCCAGUGGUUCUCCCACCUCAGCCUCCCUAGUAGCUGAGACUACAUGCCUGCACCACCACAUCUGGCUAGUUUCUUUUUUUUUUUUGUAUAGAUGGGAUCUUGUUGUGUUGGCCAGGCUGGCCACAAAUUCCUGGUCUCAAGUGAUCCUCCCACCUCAGCCUCUGAAAGUGCUGGGAUUACAGAUGGGAGCCACCACAUCUGGCCAGUUCAUUUCUUAUUACUGGUUCAUUGUGAAGGAUACAUCUCAGAAACAGUCAAUGAAAGAGACGUGCAUGCUGGAUGCAGUGGCUCAUGCCUGUAAUCUCAGCACUUUGGGAGGCCAAGGUGGGAGGAUCGCUUAAACUCAAGAGUUUGAGACCAGCCUGGGCAACAUGGUGAAAACCUGUCUCUAUAAAAAAUUAAAAAAUAAUAAUAACCGGUGUGAUGGUGUGCACCUAGAGUUCCAACUACUAGGGAAGCUGAGAUGAGAGGAUACCUUGAGCUGGGGACUGGGGAGGCUUAGGUUACAGUAAGCUGAGAUUGUGCCACUGCACUCUAGCUUGGACAAAAGAGCCUGAUCCUGUCUCAAAAAAAAAGAUACCCAGGGCAAGUUAAGUUCGGAGGGGCACAGAGCUCCCAUGCCCUCUGUUGAACAUGCGACCCUCCCAGCAUCUCCUGUGUCCAGCAACCCUGAAAGCUCUGCAAACCCCAUUCAGGGUGUUUAUGGAGGCGUUAUUAUGCAAGCGUGAUUGAUAAAAUCUUUGGCUGUUGGUGAUUAAGUCAGUCUCCAGCCCCUCUUCCUCCUGGAGUUCAGUGCAUGAGGCUGAAAGUUCCAAGCCUCUUACCAUGUGGUUGCGUGGUAAUCAGCCCUCCUCUUGAGGAAAUUUAGGAGCUUGCAGUCACCCAGUCAUCUCAACAACAUCCCCAAAUGCAUUCUUACCAUGCUGGAGAUCCCAAAGUUCUUAGAGGCUCUCGUGUUAGAAACCUGGGACCAAGACCAAAUAUUAAAAGAAAAGAUGUUCCUGUCACAUCUAUCACUGAGGUCUUUGUAAGAGUUUUAGAAGCUCUGUGCCACGAACCAGGGACAGAGAUUAAAUAUAUAUUUCUUUUCUUUUUUUUGAGACAGAAUCUCCUGUGUCAUCCAGGCUGGAGUGCAGUGGUGUGAUCAUAGCUCACUAUAGCUUUGGCCUCCUGAGAUCAGGCAAUCCUCCCAUCUCAACCUCCCAAGUAGCUAGGACUACACAUGCAUGUCACCCAUGCCCAGCUCAUUUUUGUAGAGUCAGAGUUUUGCCAUGGUGGCCAGGUUGGCCAUGUUGGCCAGAUGGGGUCUUCUUUUGUUGCCCAGGCCGGCCACAAAUUCCUGGGCUCAAGUGAUCCUCCCACCUCGUCCUUGUAGAGAUGAGAUUUAGUUAUGUUGUCCAGGCUGAUCUCAAACUCCUGGGCUAAAUCGAUUGUCUCACCUCAGCCUCUCAAGGAGCUGGGACUACAGGCGCAUACCACCAUGUCGGGCUAAUAUUUAUUUUUAUUUUUUUCUAGAGGUGGGAUGUCUCACUGUGUUUUUCAUGCUAGUUUCAAACUUCGGGCCUCAAGUGUUCCUCCUGCCUUGACCUCCCAAAGUGUUGGGAUUCUGGGUGGGAGCCACCAUGCCCAGCAAUCAAAAGGGUCUUUAUAAAAGAAAGAGAGUAGGAGAUUCAGAAUUGGAGCAGGAGAUGUGGUGAUGAAAGCAGAGGUAAGAGAGGGAGAUUUGAAGAUGCUUCACCUCUGGCUUUGAAGAUGGAGUCAGGGGCCAUGAUCCAAGGAAUGGGGGUGGCUUCUAGAAGCUGGAAAAGCCAAGGGAACAUAUUAGAGUCUCCAGAAGGAAUGCAGCCCUGCUGACACCUUGACUUUAGCCUUAAUAGACCUAGUUUGGGUUUCUGGCCCCUAGAACUGUAAGAUGGUAGAUUUGUGGUGUUUUAAGCCACUAAAUGUAGGAAACUGCAAACUAUGUUGCAGCAGCAAGAAGAAAUGAACAUGAAGCCAGGCAUGAUGGCUCAUGCCGGUAAUCCCAGCACUUUAGGAAUUUAGGCAGGAGGAUCACUUGAGGCCAGGAGUUCAAGACCAGUCUGGGCAACAUAGUAAGACCUUGUCUCUACAAAAAAUGAAAAAAUUGGCCAGGCGUGGUGGCUCACGCCUGUAAUUCCAGCACUUUGGGAGGCCGAAGCAGGCAGAUUACCUGAGGUCAGGAGUUUGACACCAGCCUGGCCAACAUUGUGAAACCCCGGCUCUACUAAAAAUACAAAAAUUAGCUGGGCGUGGUGGCACGCACCUGUAAUCCCAGCUACUUGGAAGGCUGAGGCAGGAGAAUCACUUGAAUCUGGGAGGUGGAGGUUGCAGUGAGCCGGGAUCGCACCGUUACACUACAGCCUGGGCAAGAAGAGUGAAACUCUGUCUCAAAAUAAAAUAAAAUAAAAUAAAAUACUAAAAAAUUUAGCCAGGCAUGGUGGCAUGAACCUGGAGUCUCAGGUACUCGGGAGGCUGAGGUGGGAGGAUCGCUUGAGCCUGGAAAUUUGAGGUUGCAGUGAGCUGUGAUUUCGCCACUGCACUCCAGCCUUGGUGACAGUGAGAUCUUGAAAAAAAGAAAGAAGAAAGUAAAGAAAGAAGAAAUGAGCAUGGUAGGCAUGGGGACAGAUGGCAAUGUUAAAUAGAAUGGUCAGGGGUGGCCUCCUAAGUGAAAAUUGAGUAAAGAUUUGAAGGAGGUGGCCAAGGUGCUGAGGGAAGAGGAUUGUAGGCAGAAACAAUAGAAUAAACUGUCUGAGGUGUGUCUCUGGCUCUGGAAGGAGGCCCAUGUAGCAGAUGGAGAGAGGAA